GGGCUUGUGGUUUAGUGGUAUAAUACUCGCUUAGCAUGUGAGAGACUCCGUUGUGAGAUCUUCACCAGCAUGUGAGUGGUCCGGGGUUCGAUUCCCCGCGAGUCCA